CUUGAAUAUUAUUAUAGAUAGAGAUAAACUGUAAACAGCAAUAAUGUACAGCAAAGUAAGAUUUACAAAUAAGUCAACAUGACUGAAAUGGUCAAUUGACCCCCUAAGGAGUUAUUGUCCUUUAUAGUCAAUUUUUUACAAUUUUCAUAAAAUUUGUAAAUUUUUACUAACAUUUUCCACUGAAACUACUUGGCCAAGUUCAUUAUAGAUAGAGAUAAUUGUAAGCAGCAAGAAUGUUCAGUAAAGUAAGAUGUACAAACACAUCACCAUCACCAAAACACAAUUUUGUCAUGAAUCCAUCUGAAGCAAUGUUUAAUGUUCACAUUGACCAAGGUGAGCGACACAGGCUCUUUAGAGCCUCUAGUUUUUU
rnacentral:lncRNA from 1 species